GACGAACGCUGGCGGCGUGCUUAACACAUGCAAGUCGAACGAAGUGGCGAACGGGUGAGUAACGCGUAAUCAACCUGCCCUUCAGAGGGGGACAACAGUUGGAAACGACUGCUAAUACCGCAUACUGAAGGAGGGGCUUUCGUCUGAUUAGCUAGUUGGAGGGGUAACGGCCCAACAUGGCGAUGAUCAGUAGGCGGUCUGAGAGGAGGAACGGCCAAAGUGGGACUGGGAAACGGCCCAGACGUCUACGGGAGGCAGCAGUGGGGAAUCUUCCGCAAUGGACGAAAGGCUGACGGAGCAACGCCGCGGGAGUGAUGACGGCCUUCGGGGUGUAAAGCUCUGUUAAGCGGGACGCGGUACCGGAAUAGAAAGCCACGGCUAACUACGUGCCAGCAGCCGCGGUAAUAC
rnacentral:rRNA from 1 species